rnacentral:rRNA from 1 species
UGGGGAAUAUUGCACAAUGGGCGCAAGCCUGAUGCAGCCAUGCCGCGUGUGUGAAGAAGGCCUUCGGGUUGUAAAGCACUUUCAGCGAGGAGGAAGGUGGUGAACUUAAUACGUUCAUCAAUUGACGUUACUCGCAGAAGAAGCACCGGCUAACUCCGUGCCAGCAGCCGCGGUAAUACGGAGGGUGCAAGCGUUAAUCGGAAUUACUGGGCGUAAAGCGCACGCAGGCGGUUUGUUAAGUCAGAUGUGAAAUCCCCGGGCUCAACCUGGGAACUGCAUUUGAAACUGGCAAGCUAGAGUCUCGUAGAGGGGGGCUAGAAUUCCAGGUGUAGCGGUGAAAUGCGUAGAGAUCUGGAGGAAUACCGGUGGCGAAGGCGGCCCCCUGGANGAAGACUGACGCUCAGGUGCGAAA